rnacentral:rRNA from 1 species
ACGUAGGGGGCAAGCGUUGUUCGGAAUUACUGGGCGUAAAGGGCAUGUAGGCGGUUUAGUAAGCUUGGCGUGAAAGACCACAGCUCAACUGUGGGGUUGCGUUGAGAACUGCUGAACUUGAGUUACGGAGAGGGAGCUAGAAUUCCUGGUGGGGGGGUGGAAUGUGUAGAGAUCAGGCAGAAGACCGAUGGUGAAGGUAAGCUUCUGUACGAUAACUGACGCUGAGGUGCGAAAGUGUGGGGAUCAAACCG